GCACCCGUAGCUCAACUGGAUAGAGCAUCGGUCUACGGAACCGAAGGUUGCAGGUUCGACUCCUGCCGGGUGUA
rnacentral:tRNA from 2 species